GGAAGAGAGUGCAUCACACACGCGGAGGUCUACAGGAGACUGCCCUUUCCUCUUUGGCAAGAUUGUACCUGGAAGGGGGUUGGUGAGGAGUGAUCAGGCUGGUAUGGGGGAACGUGUGGGGACAAGGAGGCCCCUCUUGCCUGGCUGGUGUGGGGAAUGAGGCCCGGUGCUGGGCCCAGAGGCACAAAAGCCUCUCCCCUUCAACUUUCCUCCCAAAUCAUUCUGGAGGUUGGACAAAGACUUCCACGGGGCCCCCUUCCCAAUGCCUGCGCCGGGGCUCGUUUGGCAGCCCCCACCCCACAGACGCGCCUCAGUCACUGUGUUCCCUGGGGGGGUGGGAAGGAGCCUGGGAGCCUCGGUGGGGCCUGCCGGCCGCGGGCUGGUUCCCAGAGGCCCUGGAGGGGGCCCGUUCACGGCUUCAGCACGAGGCCGUUGGGGGUGGGGGCAGCCUCCGCAGCGCGGCGUGUUUGCGCCGCUGACACUGUGGCAGGGUCACUGUGGAUAAAGGCGCUGCCCAGACCCGGGGCCCCGCCUGCAAAGGGGCUUUCUUGUCAGAGAGGAGCCUUUCUUCCCAGCGCACUGUGGGGCGGCGGCAGGGGGUCACCCGGAUAAUGGAGCUUCGGGCCAAUGGAGACGCAGGGCUCAGCCGGCCCCUCCCUGGCGGAGCGGGGAGGAGGGGAGACCGACUGGCUCAGAUCCGCCGCCACCUUGGCCAUGGCGCUCUGGGUGGAUUCAGAAGGGAGGACACAGUGGAGAGCCUGGGACUCCCACAAGCCUUCAGGUGUCUACGAAUCCAGCCACUGGCCUGACAGGAAGCUAGGGCCGGUCAUCCAGGGCUUCAGCUUCCAUGUCUGGCUGCCUCGUGCUCCUCAGGAGACCCCCCCACUCUGCCCCCACCGCGGGCCAGAGCGCACAGUCCGUUACAGCUGUGCCUCCCUCUGGCCCUGGCCAUUCAGCUGCUGCCUGCCUCUGUUCCCACAGCCACCACCUGACCUCGAGGCUUCUCCCUGCCCCUCCUGGACCAUCUCGUCUUCUAAACUGCAGCUGAGACCACAUUACCUUCCUGCUCAGACCUUGGGCUCCUUAUCUAAAAAAAUCAAGGUCAAACAGCUGCUCAUUGACCUGGCCCCUGAGGCCCUGUCUGUCUGUCCUCGCCUCACAAACUCUAGGUGGAUAUCAUUCUCAUCCACAAAUUCUAGGUUUCAUACAUACAUACAUGUUAUAAACUCCCAUGGCCCCAGAUCUUCAUUCAGGCCCCAACUGCUACCUAGAAUGAAUGCCCUUCUCACUUCUGUCUGGCGAACUCCUACUCAUCCUUCAAGGCCCAACUCGAAUGUCCCCUCCUUGGUAUAUCCUGCUUUCUACUUAUCCUCAGGCUUUGAUUCACAAUUCUUAUAACACCAAGGUAUGGCUAAUUUUGUCUACAUAACCCUCCCCAAUUAAACUGGAGUGUCGGGACUUUCUUGUCUUCUUCAUCGUUGGGCCUCCAGUGCCUAGCACAGAGUCUGUUACCAACAGGCUCCUGGUUUGGUGUUUUAUGAAUGAGGGAAUGAAUGAAUACAUUGUCUGCCCAUAAAAAUAACUUCCUCCUCUAUCCUAGAGGCUUUUACAACUCAGCGCGACACUCCCACAAGACCUUGGAAGUAGGAGGAAGUUACCAUGAUGCACAGGCUGUUCAGAUGCCUCUGAAACUAGAUAGAACCUAGAAUGAGACUGGUUAUGGGUCUCAGGUAGCUCUUAUAUCAACCUAGCCUCACAAAGGUCUUGGAGUUAUGCUCUACCUUGAGGUAAGAUGUAGUCAACCAUUGAAAGAU